rnacentral:tRNA from 1 species
GGGCCGGUAGUCUAGCAUGGUUAGGACUCCUUUGAAUGGCCUAAAAUCCGCCUGACGCGCGGAAGGUCGAGGGUUCAAGUCCCUCCCGGCCCA